UUCCGGUUGAUCCUGCCGGACCUGACUGCUAUCGGAUUGAUACUAAGCCAUGCGAGUCUUUGUAGUAAUACAAGGCAGACGGCUCAGUAACACGUAGUCAACCUACCCUAUGGACGAGAAUAAUCUCGGGAAACUGAGCAUAAUUCUCGAUAGAUCAUAAUGCCUGGAAUGGUUUAUGGUUAAAAUGAUUCGUCGCCAUAGGAUGGGACUGCGGCCUAUCAGCUUGUUGGUGAGGUAAUGGCCCACCAAGGCGAUUACAGGUACGGGCUCUGAGAGGAGAAGCCCGGAGAUGGGUACUGAGACACGGACCCAGGCCCUAUGGGGCGCAGCAGGCGAGAAAACUUUGCAAUGUGCGAAAGCACGACAAGGUUAAUCCGAGUGAUUUCUGCUAAAGAAAUCUUUUGCCAGUCAUAAAACCACUGGUGAAUAAGGGGUGGGCAAGUUCUGGUGUCAGCCGCCGCGGUAAAACCAGCACCUCAAGUGGUCAGGAUGAUUAUUGGGCCUAAAGCAUCCGUAGCCGGCUUUGUUAGUUUUCGGUUAAAUCCAUGUGCUCAACACAUGGGCUGCCGAAAAUACUGCAUGGCUAGGGAGUGGGAGAGGUAGACGGUACUCAGUAGGAAGGGGUAAAAUCCUUUGAUCUAUUGAUGACCACCUGUGGCGAAGGCGGUCUACCAGAACACGUUCGACGGUGAGGGAUGAAAGCUGGGGGAGCAAACCGGAUUAGAUACCCGGGUAGUCCCAGCUGUAAACGAUGCAGACUCGAUGAUGCAUUGGCAUAAUAGCCAAUGCAGUGUCGCAGGGAAGCCGUUAAGUCUGCCGCCUGGGAAGUACGUACGCAAGUAUGAAACUUAAAGGAAUUGGCGGGGGAGCACCACAAGGGGUGAAGCCUGCGGUUCAAUUGGAGUCAACGCCGGG
rnacentral:rRNA from 1 species